UAAGGUCAGUGAUGCUGACCAUCAAGGAUUAUGAUGCAAAGGCCGUGUGGAAGCAGAGCUGAAGCUGGUUGAAAACUUUUUUUUCAUAUUAUAAUUGAUUCUAGUAACUGGAGUUGGAGAAGUUGUAGGUAGACGUGAAGUUGCCAAGAAUGAGGAAAGGAAGGGACUUAGGGACAAAUCCACAGAUCAGACUCAAAAUAAUCAUGACUUUGGCCCCAGAAACAUCUCUUCAUAAAUUCAUCAGACCAGCUGGUAAAUACAAGACACGUAGACAAGAAAACCCAUCCUCCAUCCCAAGCCGAGGUAUCUGGAUGAUUCUAGCACCUCAUACCUGCAGUAGUUGCUCAAUAAAUACCUAUAGAAUGACUGCCUAUUGGAUAUAAAUAGGAGCAAAUGAUUUCAGGUUACCACCAACGUGGUAAGAUUUUCAAAAUUAAAAGGUCAGUGGGGUCUACAGGGAAACAGAAAUUUCCUGAAGUCAAAGGUGUCUCUGUAUUUAUUGGGACAAUGCUGUCUGUCCUUAAGUUAUUUUCAUUCUUAAUUUUACAGAUUCUCAUGCUACUUCGGCACCAUAUUGUUGACAAUAUAUGAAGGAAAGGGUGAGACCGUGAUACGUCUGACUAUUGCAUGGCGGUCAACCUAAGAUUUGGAGUGAGGUAAAUUCCAGCUUCCUGUUGCCCGGGGUCUCCAAAAGCGUCGUCCUCCCCAGGCCAGCUCCAGGACAUGUGCACUGACAGGGUGUCAGCUACCCUGGAUUGGGAGCCCCUAGGAUAAUCAAAGCCCUCUGCAUCCAUGUCCACAGCCUAUGACAUUCUGUUCAAGAGUCAGAUUGACCAUGUGAACCAGCGGCUCUGAGUCGUGUGUGUCAAGAAAACAGGCUUAGGCAUUGGGUCACGUUGGGUUCAAACCCUGACCUUACCUAAAGAGCUGUGUAACUUUGGAAGCAUAUCUUAACCUCCCUAAGCCUCAAUUUCCUCAUCUGUAGAACAGGGAGAAAGAAUGUCUGUCUUGUAUUAUGUAUCGGUAGGAUGAUUUGACUGUAAUAAGCAGAAACCCCUACUUAAACCAGCUUAAACAAUAAGGAGAUUUAUUAUCUCAUAGAAAAGGCAGCCUGCCCCAGGGACACUAUAUCAGCACUCUGGUUGCAUUUCUCUGUGUCUAUUGAUCACCCCCCACCUCCUCCCCAUGUAGGCUUCAACCUCAGGCAAGUAACAAGAUUCCAGGAAUUAGACUAAGGUUCAACGUGGAAUAGAGAAAGAAGAGAAACUCCUUCUUCUCAUGGCUCUCUCUUAGGAGUGAGAAAACACUUCCCAGAACCUCUGGCACACUUCCCAAGUCUUUUUGGCCAAAAUUUGGUCAUAUGCACAUUCCUGAAAUAGAAACUGGGAAAGGAAUGGGAGGACCCUCAGACAAAUCGGGGCCACCCUAACCCUGAGCGUGAGGUGAGUUUCCUGGAGCGCAUGGCUUGGGGAGGUGGAUCAGUGAACAGAAUUAGGGUUCUGUGGAAUAGAAGAAAGGGAUCAGGGAUGCUGAGGAGGACCCGCUAUAGAGUGCGGGAAGGAUUCAGUGAGAAUCACAUGUCAAUUGCUUGUUACUAAUAUAAAUAAUUAAUCAACAUUAACUUGGCAAAAGGACAAUGGGGGAAGUUUCUGCAGUGUUACAGAAGCCAAAAUAACUGGUGCCUUCACCUCAAAUCUGUGGCAUUUGCUAUAACAAUCUACUGUACUCCUUUCCCCCAAAAUAUUAUAUCCCGUUCUAUAACAACAGGGCUGGCAGUUGACAGGUACCUGGGAGCUGGACGAGCUGUGACAUCUGGAAAGACCUCUAGAAAACCCUGUAGUAUGCUAAGGUCAAAAUAAGUCAUGAACUGAUAGGUGUUCAUCCCUAAAGGCAGGCAUCUCAAUGGAAGAUGCCUGGAUCUCCUCCAGCAUCUUAGAGACCACGCACCAGAGGUGCACUUGGGCCCUUCAAGCUGUCAGAGACGAUCAUCACCAUGGCUUUCUGUCUCCAGCUUCCCUCUUCUGUAAACAUCCACACCAUGCUCCACAGAUCCCUGCUACACCACCCCAUCCUCCAACAACUGACCCCGAAUAUUGGAUCCCAACAAGAGCUCCAGUAAUGAAUCCUUGUACAAGGGGAAGCCCCUUCAUCUUAGAAAUGCAAGCUCAGGACUUCUUCAGAGCCUUCUACCAGGCAAAUCUAGGGAAACUCUACAGGAGAAAGCCAUGGUGGUGGAGUUGGUGUUAGUUCUGAACUGUUUUAGUUCUUCUAAAUGCGGUCAGCCUGACCUCAAAAAGCUGCCUCCCUGGCUCCUGCCUGAUACUCUCACUUGGCAGUUCACUUCUUUUAUUUUGUUUUUCUAGCCCGUUUGGCACCUUACCUUAGUUUCCACUCACUGCUUGGCCCCUGGGAUUGCUGACCCAGUUUAGAAUGUUUGUUUUGGCUCUGACUUUGCAUUCCUCGGGGACCUCCUUUCAGUGUUCACCUGUCUGUACACUGCACCACCACUUCCAGCACUGGAAGCCCCAUUCCUCUGCCCCUUCCCAACCCCUCUGACCCAGGAAGGCAGUUGCAGAAGAGAAUUCUAUCGUGGAGAAUCUCAUUCUUCCUUUCCCUCUGCCCUACGAAGGAUGCUAUUCCUUCCAGGUUCUGAAGAAGUGGGAGGAAAGGGAUCUGAUUGAAUUGAUUCCAUCUCAUGUGUGAAUUAAUAAUACCCAUUUAAGCCUUAAGCUUAUAUCUUAAAUGUGUUUCUGGUUUUUAGAGGUAAAUAAAUGUAACAGUACAAAGUGAAAUAUUGAAUAUUUGGAGUCCAGGAAGUCUCAGUGGUGUAAGCCACUCCGUCCUGGGAGGUGGGAUCUCCCCAAGUCUACCCUCAGCUGUACCUUAUUUUUCACCUCUUUUGUUACCCUACUCCUGAAUUCACAGGUCCCAUAACAGUUUCCAUUUUUCAAAUGACUUCUGGGGUUGUCAUAGUGGGGAUCACAGGUAUGAGAGAACACAGAUAUUUAGUUUUUUUGUGGGAUCCGGCUGUUUUGGUAGCAAAACACAUUUGCUUUAGCCAAUAUUGACUUUGUGUGUGUGUGUGUGUGUGUGUGUGUGUGUGUGUGUGUGUGAGGAAGGUGGUCGCUGGGCUAACAUCUGUGCCAGUCUUCCUCUAUUUUAUGUGGGAUGCCGCCACAGUGUGGCUUGAUGAGUGGGGCUAGGUCUGUGCCCAGGAUCCAAACCUGCAAACCCCAAGCAGCCAAAUUGGAAGGGGCCACCGAGCCGGCCCCCCAAUAUUGAUUCUUUACUGUUUUCCUUUGCUCAUUGCAGAGGGCUGAUGUUCAGAACUAUCUGCGUCCAAUUUCUGCCUGAACGUUUACUCCAAUUAUUAUUACUUUGUGUUUUCUGCCUCACUCUAUAGAAGAGCUCCACAAAAGGGAAAUGAAAG
rnacentral:lncRNA from 1 species